rnacentral:lncRNA from 1 species
AUGACGUGCUCAAACAUUCGCUGUCUCAAAAAAUUUAAAAACCUCCAGCGUUCUCCUAGCCACAAUGACCGUGCUGACUUCAACUUACUUUCACGUUCCAAACCUGUUAACGUCGCCGAAGGGAACGACCUGUCAAAAAGUCUCAUUAUCCGGCAACAAACACCACAAAAGAGCGCCGUAACUUUCGGCCGCUGCCUACAAAAUAACGAACCAGCCCCGCGCUUGCGAACCACUUUGUUCUGUUUUCUCCCCUUCAUCGUCUCCACAUAAAAACCUCAGUCCUAAAGAAACAAGCAAACAAAAACCCGAACACCACACACCAGCGGUCUCGCGAUUCCUUUGUCCCCAGCGGAGAAGAGGAGGGCUGGGAACUCGGCGAGGCAGAGCCCCCAAAACACGCGAGAUGGGAAACACACGGCGUUCAAGCCGCAGUCAGGCAUCGAAAAAGCCAAGUCUGCUCGCCCGGCUCCGGAGCUCCUUCCCCGGCGCAGC